GCUAAUGAAGACACCAACUCAAGGUCCUCGUUACAAUGCUAAGUACCUGACUCUGCUUAUUUAGUAAAAUUCUAAAUCAAUAGACCUUUGUGUCCAAAAAUUUGAGCACCAUAUCUCAGAUUCUAAAGAAAAGGGACGUGAGAUCAAAUUUUUUAGUGCAAAAGCAAAUAGAUCGAAGAUGAAGCAUAUCCAUAAAAUAAAUAGUACAAUCAUCUAGCAAGAUCUCGAGUGUUUCACUUUAGGCUGGCAUCUACACAAUGACAUACAAUACAACAUUUGACCAGUCAAACAACAGCACUUAAAAGCUAGAACUGCUUUUGCACAUUGGCAAAGAUAAAUAAAUCUGUAAUGCAAAUUUGUCUGACAACCAGAAACAGCAAGUGAAACGACAGUGCUGAAUGACCAGAUAUACUAUCUGCUUCUUUUACAAGGAUUCAUGGUUCAUUACCACUGAAAAAUGCAAAUACCAGUCACAAAAAAGCUGUGCAGAUGUUCAACGAACAGUAAGUGAUAGAAGCAACUGCAUACUAGUUUUAGCAGCUCUAGUGUUUCAGCCUACUUGGCCUCCAGAAGCAUCUGCAGGCUGUUUACAGUUCAAAUAUCGAUAAAAGCUUUAGGGUUCCUGCCUACUCGUGUUUCCAGGAGCAUCUGUAGGUGGUUUACGAUUCAGAUAGCGUAUAACAGCAUCUUCCACCCUGUCAAGAAGAUACUCUGAUUUCAGUAACAAGUCCAGGAUUAUGGGGAUAUGAUAGGAAGUAAGUUUAACUCUAAAAUGGAAGCAGCUGAUAUCUCAUGUAGAAAACAUAACCUACCAAAUACCAAUACUUUCCUAUUUCCUUCGUAUUGAAUACAAGAGUCACUUAAAACUAAUUUCUACACUUAUUUUAUUUUAUUUUAUUAGUUUAUUAUUUUUAAAAUAAACUUUGCCAAACAAGAUCUGAUGAAAACUUGGAGAUAUAGUUUGGCGCUUGUAAUGAUUAUUAUGAGUGCAUGAAAAAAGUUGGCCAGUAUCACAGUGCUCAACUCUGUGUCAACUGUGGUAUUAUAUUUUCUUCUUAUUGGCAGGUGGACACAGCUGCAAAUGUCCAACCUGAAGAUGUAGAAGUUAUCUGGAACUUGAGAGGGAUACUGAACACCUCAUGGCACCGAGUUCAUGUUCGGGUUGGGCAUUCCAGUAUGUAGACAAAGCAGUCGGAUCUAACAUCCUGCACUGUCGGGGACUGGUUUAGAUGUGGAUAACAUGUAAUUUAUCGUGUUUUUAGGAAGUUUAUACGAUCAUCUGUACAAUAUUAUAUUUCCCAGUUUCCAAACGUGUGAAAGAAAUUAUGUUCUGUUCUUUAAAGAUUUCGCUGGAAUUUUUUGAGCUGUUUUGGUAAAAUGGGAUUCCUAUAGUGAGAGAUGACAUCCCUUUUAACGUAUUUCUAUAUCAAAUAUGUCAAUAAGGACACCUCUUUAUGUUAAUGUGACGAUAUCUUAGAAUUGAAGAAAUAGUGCAAACUUGAAAAUUUUACCCAGAUCUCAAGACCAGAAAUUUCUAGUUCUAUGUCACCAAAGAUACUUAUUAUCUAUGGCGUUACACAUCAGUAAUCUCUUUGAAUGAGGGCAAAUCUCUACAAUGAUUGUAACGAGACAAUAAAAGAUUGAUAUCAGCCCCUUCAAGAGAUUACCUAAAGCAAUCCUAUGAAAGUUUGCUAAACAAAUGUAUGCUCAUUCUUCAAAUAAAUUUCCUCUUAAUUCAGGUAAAUAAUUGAAAUGUAAGCUCAGGCUUCCACAUAUUCCAUUUAAAGCAGCUUGCAGAACUGAGACGUGUUUUGUGCAUCAUCUUUCAAAAUUUAAAUACGUUUUACUUUUGAGAAAUGCUACUUUUAUAGGUUGUUUUAACAUAUGUAGUUACAGAAUGUUGAAUUGGCAAAAUUUCAAACAUUUUGUACAAAAAAAGAAAAAGAUAAAAAAGAUUAAAUCAGCCAAUGAAAUCUUGCCAGCUCAGCACCUGUAACCCUAUUUGUUAAAAAAAUCUAUACAAGUAACAUUUUUCCUUUAUUUUUUGGACCAUGCUAGAUGUACCUAAUUUUUUUUACCUAAUGCUUUUCAUACACUCACAAUAGAGAUGUCGGGGCCACAUGUUAGGAUUAUUUUAUUCACGCGAGUCCACGUGCUUGUGAGAGUAGGUAAACCAUUUGGUAAAUCAAAUUAUAUACACUUAGAAUUAUCCUUAAUUUUUUUGUCCUAUCGUGUCCAACAUAACAAAUAUGUCACAAGAAAAUAAUCUGGAUGGAGAAACCAAUACCAACCUUCGUAGCCUACUCCACUAGCUCAAUCAGCAUGCUGCAAUAUGAGGUUGCUAAUGAAGACACCAACUCAAGGUCCUCGUUACAAUGCUAAGUACCUGACUCUGCUUAUUUAGUAAAAUUCUAAAUCAAUAGACCUUUGUGUCCAAAAAUUUGAGCACCAUAUCUCAGAUUCUAAAGAAAAGGGACGUGAGAUCAAAUUUUUUAGUGCAAAAGCAAAUAGAUCGAAGAUGAAGCAUAUCCAUAAAAUAAAUAGUACAAUCAUCUAGCAAGAUCUCGAGUGUUUCACUUUAGGCUGGCAUCUACACAAUGACAUACAAUACAACAUUUGACCAGUCAAACAACAGCACUUAAAAGCUAGAACUGCUUUUGCACAUUGGCAAAGAUAAAUAAAUCUGUAAUGCAAAUUUGUCUGACAACCAGAAACAGCAAGUGAAACGACAGUGCUGAAUGACCAGAUAUACUAUCUGCUUCUUUUACAAGGAUUCAUGGUUCAUUACCACUGAAAAAUGCAAAUACCAGUCACAAAAAAGCUGUGCAGAUGUUCAACGAACAGUAAGUGAUAGAAGCAACUGCAUACUAGUUUUAGCAGCUCUAGUGUUUCAGCCUACUUGGCCUCCAGAAGCAUCUGCAGGCUGUUUACAGUUCAAAUAUCGAUAAAAGCUUUAGGGUUCCUGCCUACUCGUGUUUCCAGGAGCAUCUGUAGGUGGUUUACGAUUCAGAUAGCGUAUAACAGCAUCUUCCACCCUGUCAAGAAGAUACUCUGAUUUCAGUAACAAGUCCAGGAUUAUGGGGAUAUGAUAGGAAGUAAGUUUAACUCUAAAAUGGAAGCAGCUGAUAUCUCAUGUAGAAAACAUAACCUACCAAAUACCAAUACUUUCCUAUUUCCUUCGUAUUGAAUACAAGAAAUUCAGGUCGAACAAGUUUCUAUUCAGAUAAAAAGAGAAUGGACAAUACUUAACAAUGUCUAUGACAUGCCUGAUAUACCAGCAAAAUUUCAAUAUUUAGGGCAUUAUAAGGGUUUUAACAAAGUUGCACGGACAUGAACACGCUGGCAAGCGAUUCUUUGGAAAGGUAGGACACAGACACAUUGGGACGUGAUUUAAAUUCUUUAAAAUUUUAAAUUCAUAUUUCAUAUCCAUUUUUUAUUUUUAUUUUUUAUAGAGUUUUAUAUAAGACACAGCCCAUGACAUGCUGUAUACUUGCCCGAGGGGUAUCUCUAAAUAUCACUAGAUUGUCGGGAAUUUAAAAAAUAUAUAAAACGUCUGAUACGAUACGACGUGACAGACACGGACAUGGAGCCUUUGUACGAGUGUCUGUGCAUCAUAGAUUUUUGGUCAUUUGAAUCAGUUAACAAAGCAAAAACAUCUCAAAUACUUCUGAAAUUUAUUGCAUGCAUUCAACUCCAUCUUUUUGUCUGAACCAUUUGCUUAAAUAAUAAGUCAGACCUAAUUGCAUCCAAAAUAAUCUGAUCGACGAAACCCAACCUAUUUACAACGAUGAUAUUCAAUAAAGUAAAGAGCUAAAAACAGUUAACUGGGAACAGGAUGAUAAUUAUGAACAUA
rnacentral:lncRNA from 1 species